UACGGAAUGUGCAAACGUUAUUCGGAAUCACUGGGCUUAAAGAGUCCGUAGGCGGCUUGUUAGGUGAGGUGUGAAAUCCCACGGCUCAACCGUGGAAUUGCGCUUCAAACCGGCAAGCUUGAGGAGGAUAGAGGUGGGCGGAACUGAUGGUGGAGCGGUGAAAUGCGUUGAUAUCAUCAGGAACACCGGAGGCGAAAGCGGUCCACUGGGUCCUUUCUGACGCUGAGGGACGAAAGCUAGGGGAGCGAACGGG
rnacentral:rRNA from 1 species